AUGGAAGUGCUAAAAUACUAUUAUUACUUGAUAUUAGAAACAGGGUGGAGGUGAGGCCUGGCGAGUCCUUCCCCUACCUGGCCCAGACAAGAAUGAGGGUUGCGUCUAGCCUCCCGAGGCCUGGGCAGGCAGCAUGGGGCCAGGCCUGGCUUGGGCUGAUGUUGGAAUGUGGCUCCUUCCUGCCGCAGGAGCUCUGCGGCAUGGGCAGUAAACUGGGAGAAAGCAGAAAAGUCCACACACCACCAUUCCAGCCUCCGUCUUGUCUGCAGAGGAAGCAAAUGUGUCGUCUGUCCUCCUGCUCUGGAUUUGCUGCUCUUUUCCUCAGCUUAUUCAGUCUCUCCUGCAGCCUUGUUGGCCUGGCUGAUGCAGAUGGCAAGCAGCUCUGCUCACUGCAUGCCUGCCUGCGCUGGGAGAAACCUGUGCAGCGAUGAUUCACCCUCAAAUGAUUGCUUGACCCAGAGGAGGGCUUGAUGAUACAAGGAGGCUGGGACACACCAGCCAUGAUUAUAAGAUGAUUCACUGCCUGGGCUCUGCCAUUCAAAACAUCUUCAGUAUUGCAAGGCAGGGCUGCUCACGGAGGCUGCAAUAAGGAAGUGAUAUUUGCACCCAGAGCUGCCACGUUCUCACCGAACUUUUCUGCUGCUGUCUCUGGUGUGAUGUUUACCUCUCUCUGGCCAGGCUGAUGCUACAAAGGUCUGCUGGCAGGGGCAGCUGCCUGGUGCUGCCAUGUGCCUCUUGCUAACAAAGCCCAUCCUCACCCUAAGAAGGUUUGGCCCAGAGUGUAGUACACCUAGGUGUCUGGUGUCCCUGCGAGGCCAUCCCCUGCCGUGUGAAAGUGCGUCAUUGGGCAGUAGCACUACAGUGACGGGCUGGUGGGAACUCAAAGUCCUUCCGUUCUGCGUGUUUCAUCACAGCAUUCUUCAGAAUCCCUCCAAAAUCCCACCUCUUUGUCCUUCACUCUUCCUCCCAUCCAGAUUUUCUCCUGCCAGAUACCUGCACUCAGAUGAGCAGGGAACUCCUGUGUGCCUGGAAGCAGUGCCCUACCCCUGACCCAGGAGCUGAUACUGUUUGUGGCAGUUUGCUGCAGGCACUGCUAAGAUCUGGGACAUGGAAAGUUUACUCAUGUUGUGCAGGGCUUGGAAAUGUGUUGGGGCUAACAGCAUGCGUGGUUGGUGUUGUGCUUUCCCUCGAGCUAAGUUGGGCAACGUGUUAGUUAGCAAGCUGGGCAUUACUGGGAGCUCCUAAACCUCUGGUUUGCCAGUGACAAAGUUGCAAAGCUGUAGUAGUACACUCCCGACAUUUUCUGCACAGUGUCAUGGCCAGGCUCCAGUGCUGGGGAAUUGUGCUCCAUCUGCUGCUUUGGGCAAUUCUGCCUGGACUUUGUUCAGCUUCAAGUCUCCAGCUGUCACGGUCUAUUGCCAACUAUCCUACAUACCUAACGAACUAGGUGAACAAUCUCUGUAAAAUAAUCUAUCCGAUGAUUUUAGCCCAUGUUUCCUUUGAGGGAACUGCCUUCAAACUGCCUUUCAAAUGUACGUCACGUGCAGUAUUAUUUGUGCUUUGUCUAAGUGUGUGCUGGCUAUGCAUGCUCUGGGUGCUCUUGGAUGUAACUGCGGUUUUAAAUACCCUCUGCUAGUUAUUCAUAGUGCCCAUGUAGUCAUUUAACAAACAUGGUGUCAGUUCUGCUCUCUAAGUGGAUGACUAACGCUCUUAUAAAUAGGAGGAAUGCGAUCUGAAAGGUCACGUGAAUGUUCCUCAUGUGAAUAUAUCCCUAAACCAUGAGACUUCUCAUUCCAAGAAAGUGUUUGUUAUUAGGAAGAAGAAAAAGGGUUAAAAACCCAUUCAAGCAAUUUCUUUGCUUGAACUCAAACAGAUUUUCGCAGUGUUUGCUUUUGUCUGCAAUCUCCCUUGACCGGCUUGGGAACAGCCCUGAUCUCUUUCCCAUGCCAGCACCUUCCCUUGGAACAUAAGAGGAUGUAUCCUGAAGUUGAUGUAAGAAACCUCCUCUGAGUUUCUUUCUAACCUCUUGCAUAUCCUGAUGGAAAGCAGGAGCUCUCUUAAUACUGUAUUCCAAAGCAAGUGAGAAGAGUGGAGAGUGCAGGUUUCUGCACGGCUCUCCUCAGCUCAGUACCAUCAUGAGAAAGUGCCACGCUGCCCAGACUGCUGGGGAGAAAUGGGGGUGCUGCCCCCAAGGUGUGGUCGCCCCCAAACAGCAGCUGUGGGACCCCACUGUCCCAUGGGAUCACAGCAGGGCGUUGUUAAUGCAGACAGAAUGCAGCAGUUAGCUCUGCAGGCACUCUUGUCUUUCUGUUUUGAUCAAAUGAAAACAAAGUAAGUGGGCGUUGCUGCUCUCCUGCUGCUGAAAGGUUAGAAGAAGCGUGGACCUGGGCUUCAGGAAGCACGGCACCAUCUGCUCCCCCGUCUACAGCUCAGAUACUGGGAGCCACCAGAGGGUUGAGCUGAACUGGUGGAACACAGAAGGGCGAGCUGCCCCCUGGGCAGGCACAGCACCCAGCUGGGGGGUGGCGGUGCCUGGGUCAGCGCUUCUCCUCCCCCAGCCUCUGCAGCAGCAGGUGUGCUGGUCUGAGGUUGGCCUGUGGGACUUUGCACUGGAACAAAGUGGAGGAGAGGGUUUGUGCAGCCGGCUCAGGGACGCACCCUGAUUUCAUCAAAACAAAGGCAGGGCAGUUCACUUGCUGACCGAAGCCUGAGGCAUAAGCCCAAGGUGGCCUGUGGGUAUAACGGCUGCGUUCAUGCUAAUAAAGUGGGCAGGGACCGGAGCUGCCCUCUGCCUAAGGAGAAUGGCUGUGGUGGCACAGAUAAACCCCCUUUGCCCUCCACAUCCAUGUGACCACGUGCAAACCCCUGCUGGGAACAGUCCCUGAGCCAUGCUACCUCCUGAAGCGUGCUUUUCCAACAGCGUGGGAGAGCGCUGGCAGCCCUGCGCAAGGCUGCGUCCUGGGCUGAGCUGCGGGUUGGAGGUGGGGAGGGCUGAGCUCCUCCACCCGUGCCCUGGUUCACUACUUUGAUUUUCUGCUCUAGAUGCUGUCAGUCUGUCUGCGUUAGGCAAGUUACCUAAAGCAGGAUAUAAUAAAGGGAAGACCCUCUCUUCCAGCUUCAUUUCUAGCCAUCAUCCCUCUGUUUGCUCUCUGACAGGAGGGUGGUAAGAGAGCCUCCUUAUGUGUGGAGCAGUGAGGGACUGCCAGAAGAGGAGACUCUGGGAAAGUGGAGGGUGGUAAAAGGCAUUUUGGCUAUUUGUAGAAAUUUGACUCGGUGCAGUAUCAGGCCAAUGCUAUACACAUGCCAUAGAGGUGGUAUUCCCAGUCUCACAGAGCUUCAUAAUUUUGUCUGUGCUUAUUAUAGCUACAGAAACGCAUUAACUUUAAAAUGUUGGCUAAAAGCUUGUGUCCUAUAUUUUCCUCCUGCCAACCUGGAUCUUGACUUUAGGUUGCAGAUUAGGAAGGACAGCUGAGGCUCUGGGUUCCCCAGGGCAGUCUGUACAGGGUCAGAAGUCCCAGAGAUUUGCCGGGCUGUCUGUGAUGUGUCCUUCUGAGCACACACCAUGUUUUCUAACCUCAGCGAUCUCAGAGGUUUGAUUGCAGUGAAAGAUGGUGUAUAUAAACGAUAUUUGAUGGAGAAGUGCACAUGCGGGGCUUACGAAACACCAUGUGUGCCUGCAUGUGCAUGCAUUAACAUAACAGGGCAAAGGCAACUGCGAUGUUGUAUUUACCUGCUGGCUCAGAUUGUUCUGCCUGCCUUAAGGGACUGCUGGCUCUGGUCUCUUGAAUUCAUUCCUAGAAAAAAUAUCAGUGUGAAGAGUGGUGUGUGUGCUCUCCUAUGGCAAGCAUCAGUGAGCUGAGUGGUGCAUUCAAACUGAAAUCAAAUGUUUCACCCGUUUUGGCAAUUUUGGGUGCACUGGCAUAUAUCUGUUGCAGGUGCGCCUGGAUUUCUCCUCUCCCUGGGUCAGAACCAGAAGCAUUUUUUUUACUAGUGACAAGGAGGUGGCAGAGGUGGGGGCAGGUCUUGCUUGUGGCUACUGCCAGCUGGCAGUGGACAAUGGUAUAAAUGCAGAAAAAGAUGGGAAGAAAGGAAUGGAAGGUGUAAUUACCUCAGGUGAGAGUCAGCAUCAUGCUACCAGUGCUCUGUAUGUAUGUAUUUGAAACCUACACAUGCAAACACAUAAAAGAAAACGUUCAAGAUAUGGCAUCAGGUUCUUCCACAAGACAGCCACAGUUACGUAAAGAAAUUAAUAAGAUUUUCUUUAUACUGUGGUGCUGGCAGCCAGAGCCUCCUCUCUGACUGUGCUGGGGAGAAGAGCGUGUUCAGCGUGAGCAGAAGAGAUGCAUGUUGGCAGCCAGCACGGCAGACAUGGGUGCAGCACCACACUGUGCCAGCUGGCUGUCGGGAGCAGCCACCACGAGUGGUCAAAGGCAGACCGAGCUACUGGAAUUUGAGCAAAACUCAGAGGUGGCAGUUGGGAAAAUACACCUGAAAGCCCCAGAUAGAUUCUUUCCCAGUGCUGUCUGAGGCUUGCUCACGUGGAGAGAUGCGGAUCUGGUUUUGCAUGGUGCGAAGCAGUUGUGCUGCCAAAUGGGAGGCAUUCUGCAGAGGAGGAAGAGCAGUGCCCACGCUCCUCCUUGGCUGCCGUCUCUCUCCUGCAAUUAAAGAAAAAACGAAAGCAAGCCCCAUAAGCUUUCUUCUUCUCCACGGUGACACAACAGAACAAAACAGGAUUUCCUUCAAAGCAGUAUCAGGACAGGCUUAGCUGCAUUCUUGCAAGGGUGAAUUUGAAGGCCAGAGAGUGGAAUUUCCAAAUGCAUUUCCCUUCCUGCACCGUUCUCUUUCAUCUUCAUAAAUCUGUGCCAAUUUUUAUAGAACCUCUUUUUGGGGGAGAGAAUGGGGACAGAAGUUGAUGAGCUAUUCAGAGCUGAAAGCAGAUAUUCAUGCUGCCAGAGGUAAGGCAGUAAAAAAAUGUGUCAGUGUAGCAGAUGGCAGUGCUCCUCUCUUCAUGCCUCUCACGAAGCAUCAAGGUGUGCUUGCUUCUCAGAGGGGCUGUGCUUCUCAGAGGCUGGCUAUGAGCUGCGUGUUGAAAUGGUUGCCAUGGCACUGACUGAGUCUAAGUUAGAAAGCGUGAUUAUCCAGAGUUGGCCUAAAUAGCUGAAGGGAAAAGGAAAAAAAAAAAAGGCCAAGGACUUUCUGUUACUAAUAUGGACCCAUCAGCAUUAGGCUGUGCCUAAAAAGGGAGCAGAGAGAAGGGAGAGGAGCUGGCAGGAGUGCCCUGCACCAGUCCCUGGUGAGCUAUGACCAGCUGGGAGCAGCAGCACACAGCUCCUUUCUCAGGGGUUUGCCCCUUUGCUCCCAUACACCAUGCCAGCACAGCGGCUGCACACCAGCAAAGGUCUACUGGUACCAUCAAUCCUGAUGUUGCUGGUAUGGGGAAACCAUGCUUCUCUGGCGGGGGAGGCAAGGCUUCAGGGACACAGAGUGAGCGCUCACAACGCUCUCCUGGCAAGCAGGUGGCACAGUCACAUUAGGAAGCGUGGAAGUGGUGCGCAGAGAGGUAGGAAGACUUGCCCAAAAGGAUGCAGUGAGUUGCUAGCCUGGGUAGAGAGCUAACCCAUGGGCUCCCUGUACCUAGAGCCAUCCCCCUCUUCUAGCUCAGCUACCUCUGUCUGCUCAAAGCGUGCCUCUGGAAGGCUUCUCAUCUUCAUUUGGAGCCCGAGAACGGGAGAACCGGAGCCCUUCAUGAUAAUUCAUUGCCAUGGUUAAUCACAAUCACUUGUUAAAAAAAAUAAUUGCACCUUAUAUCUAAUUUAAAUGUGUAUGGCAUUAGCUUUCAGCCUCUGGCGCACGCUGUGUUCUUCUCUUGCUAUAUUAAAAAAAAAAAACACCACUUCUUGAGAUCCUGUGGGUUUUUGCUGUGAAUGUUUCUUCUGCACCAAAGUCACUUUUGAGCUCGUUUUUGAAGAACUGAGGAAGCAGCAUUCUUUCUCUCUAAGGAUUUUCUUUUAGCUUUUCUCAGGGAAAAAGUGGAAGAUUGACAGACUAAGGUGAAGAUUUCUCAGUACUGGUUCUGGAUGGAAAAACAUCCUGUCUGGGAGCUGCAGAGUGCCACAUCAGGGGUCCAGAUGCCCGGUGUAAAAUCAACAGAAGAGAUUUAUGCAAGCUGAGAGGAUGCAGGAGGACUCAGUGUUGCGGGCCCUGUCCGUCUCAUGAUGCACAGAGCUUCCUUCCCUGCCUCUCUGCAGUUCAUGAUCUCUGAAGGGCUGGGGCCGUGACCACUAUCCUUGGGAGCCUGUUCCAGUGCCUGACCACAAUCUGGUGAAGAACCUAUUCUUAAUACUCUUGUUAAACUUCACAUGGUGGAUGAUUGCCCAGCCCUCUAAUUUGCUGAGAUCUCUCUGCAAGGCCUCUCUGCUCUCAGGGGAGUCUACAGCAGUGCAUUCCAGACUUCAAGAUGUUCUACAGCUAGAGUUCCUCAUCAUCAGUUGCGUAAGUCAACUUUUUCCUGUAUGUGGCUGUUGAUAUUCCUAAUGAUACUUUGCCUGAUAUCACAAAGAACUUGUCAGAAGCAGUUUUGCUGAUUCCUAGGACAGCGCUUUCAGAAACACGGUUUGAAUUUUAGGUAGUCCUAUGUAGAGCCAAGAGUUGGACUCCAUGAUCCUUGUGGGGCCCUUCCAAUUCAGGAUAGUGUAUGAUUCUGUGAUUCUAUUCUAAUUUAGUAUCAUCUGCAAACAUACAUGGAACGUAUGGAUUCAAAUUCUGUGUCCAGACCAUUUAUAAAGACAUUGAAGAGAACUGACUAAAAUGGAGCCCUGUGGAACCUCAUUAGUGAUUGGCCACCAGCUCGAUGUAAUCCCAUUUACUAUAACCCUUUGAGCCCGACCCAUGAGCCAAAUGUACACCCAUUGCAUUACGUCUAGCUGGAUACUAGACAUUGUGUCCAGAAGGACAUGGUGAAAAAGAGUAUUGAAAGCUUUGCUGAAAUCCAAAAAGAUCUCAUCAGCUGGCUUCCCUUGGUCAACGAGGUGAGUCACCUUGGCAUAAAAGGAAAUUAAGUUCAUGACGACUUUCUCCUCAUGAACCCAUGUUGGCUAUGACCAAUGACUGCAUUGCCUUUCAAGUGUUUUUCAGUAACUUCCAGAAUAAUCUUCUGCAUAAUUUUACCAGGCACUGAAGAGAGACUGACGGGCUUGUCAUUACCAGCAUCUUCUUUCAUACCCUUCUUGAAAACUGGGACAACAUUUGCCAGCUUCCAGUCAACUGGAACUCAUGUGGCACGUGAAUCUCUGUUGCUUCUCCAAGGACAAACCAAGAGCCUAUGGUAGAAAGCGGAACAAAAGCUCUCUCUGGUUCAGUACUUCAACUGCACAAAUGUAAUUUAUCAAGAUGGUAUUUAGAUAGCCUUAGAUAAAAGAUACAUCAAAGCAUACUUCUGGCUGCUGCUUUCAGAAGUAGUAGUAAAUCUCCUGGGGGAAUGCAAGUAGUCAGAUAUGAUCCAAGUUAUCAGAACGCUCCAUCUCCUUGCUGCCCCUCCUCCUCUCACACUGGUUGGGUUCACAGGGAAGCCCUCUCUUGGGACUGGUGCAUCAUCUAUUCCCAUCACUAGAUUUUAGUUCAGAAAUGUGUGUUCAUUCUUUUCCAGCAAAACACUGUCUAUUUCAACACUAAUUCUGAAGAACUGUAAAAUGGCAAAGGAUCCAAAAAGAAUAAUGUAUUGACCAUUAUGUUUACUUUGGCCACUGUGUCUAAGUGCUGAUAUUAGCAUUUCUGAAAGGAUUCAUUCAUCACUGAAUAAAGCUUUGUACCUGUGAGUAAGAUCUUGCUCAGAAGGUCCUGUGUGCCUCCUUUCCUCUGUCAACAAAGCUUACAAAUGUCAAGAGAUGUUUUUGCAAGGAAAGGUAGUGCAUAUCCAUUAUUUCAAGAUAAGAAAAAAGCUACCAAAAAAAUUCCAUGCCUAUUGCCAAUGGUGUAAUGAAAGCAGUACUGAAUUUAAAGAAAAAGUCUUAUUUCUUUUCAUGUGCCAUACUGGUUUGUUUAUUUGAUUAUAGAUCUGAAUAUAUAUGUAUUCAAAGUGGCUCUCCUGUUUUCUUUUGUUUUUGUAUUUUAAGCUAAAAUCCUACAAUACAACUUCAAGCACAGUGAUUAGUUCUCAUGUCACAGAAAGACAAGCAGACCUGCACUAGCACUAACAACCACUGAUGAAAAUAUUUUGCUCUUUCCGGACCAUGACCUCUUCUGUGGAUAUCAGCAGAAUAAACAUACUUUUAUAAAGUA